ACUCCUACGGGAGGCAGCAGUGGGGAAUAUUGCACAAUGGGGGAAACCCUGAUGCAGCGACGCCGCGUGAGUGAUGAAGUAUUUCGGUAUGUAAAGCUCUAUCAGCAGGGACGAAAAAGACGGUACCUGACUAAGAAGCCCCGGCUAACUACGUGCCAGCAGCCGCGGUAAUACGUAGGGGCAAGCGUUAUCCGGAUUUACUGGGUGUAAAGGGAGCGUAGGUGGUAUGAUAAGUCAGAUGUGAAAGCCCAGGGCUUAACCCUGGGACUGCAUUUGAAACUGUCAAACUAGAGUGCAGGAGAGGUAAGUGGAAUUCCUAGUGUAGCGGUGAAAUGCGUAGAUAUUAGGAGGAACACCAGUGGCGAAGGCGACUUACUGGACUGUAACUGACACUGAGGCUCGAAAGCGUGGGGAGCAAAACAGGAUUAGAUACCCUGGUAGGCGUAG
rnacentral:rRNA from 1 species